GGAAGGUAUCCGUGCCCGGUGGCGCGGCCGGGCUUCAAACCCGGUUGGGGGCGUCAGACGCUCCCAGGUAGGUUCGACUCCUGCUACCUUCCGCCA
rnacentral:tRNA from 1 species